rnacentral:ncRNA from 1 species
UGGGAUUGCUGGGGGAGCUUAACCGCUGAGAGUACGCCAUAGUGGCGUAGACCCCUGGAACCUGUUCGGGUAAUUCCAACGCAGGGAAGCGAUCCGGCGCUCUG